UUUCCGUAGGUGAACCUGCGGAAGGAUCAUUAACGAAUCUUUGAGGGCUAGGGUGCGUCUCGCUCCGGAGCGCAAGGCCUUGCAGCGUGCGAGCCCCAGCCGAUCCACCUUGGCAAACCCCACUGUACACUCAUGUCGGCAAGGGGCCCCCAGUGCCACUACACGGACUACAAAAACUAUUUAACAGAAAGAUCUGUGGCAGCUGUGCCGUCCAAAAUUUAACAACUUACAACAACGCACCUCUUUGCUCUAGCAUCGAUGCAGAACGUAGCAGACCAC
rnacentral:misc_RNA from 1 species